rnacentral:rRNA from 1 species
GUAUGAACGGCAAAACCUCUUCCAACUGUCUCCCCUCCCAUCCUUUUAAAUUUCCUCCUGUGUGAAGAAGCACAGAUAUAUCAGAAAGACGAGAAGACCCUGUCGAGCUUUAACCACUAAGUGGGCCUUACCCUUUUCAGGCACCACCUAAAGGUUUUGGUUGGGGCAACCAUGGAGAAAAAAAGAUCCUCCAGAACAAAUAGAAGAAAGCUUUUCACUAUUUUACGACUGAGAACCAGGAACUGGUAUUCGGAAAAAGUUACCGCAGGGAUAACAGCGUCAUCUCCUCUAAGAGUCCUUAUUGACGAGGAGGUUUGCGACCUCGAUGUUGGAUUGGGGCCCCCUUAGGGUGCAGAAGCUCUAAACGGUUAGACUGUUCGUCUAUUAAAGCCCUACAUGAUCUGA